rnacentral:rRNA from 1 species
CCUACGGGGGGCUGCAGUGAGGAAUAUUGGUCAAUGGACGCAAGUCUGAACCAGCCAUGCCGCGUGCAGGAUGACGGCUCUAUGAGUUGUAAAUUGCUUUUGUACGAGGGUAAACCCCGAUACGUGUAUCGUGUGGAAAGUAUCGUACGAAUAAGGAUCGGCUAACUCCGUGCCAGCAGCCGCGGUAAUACGGAGGAUCCGAGCGUUAUCCGGAUUUAUUGGGUGUAAAGGGUGCGUAGGCGGUUUGAUAAGUUAGAGGUGAAAUGUCGGGGCUCAACCCAGAAACUGCAUCUAAUACUGUUAGACUAGAGAAUAGUUGCGGUAGGCGGAAUGUAUGGUGUAGCGGUGAAAUGCUUAGAGAUCAUACAGAACACUGAUUGCGAAGGCAGCUUACCAAACUAUAUCUGACGUUGAGGCACGAAAGCGUGGGUAGCAAACAGGAUUAGAUACCCGAGUAGUC